GCGUCUGUAGCCUAGUUGGUAAAGGCAGCACUCUAGUGCUGUGCGAGGUCGUGAGUUCAACUCUCACCAGACACA
rnacentral:tRNA from 1 species